CCCCGCAGGUGAACGCUGGCGGCGUGCUUAACACAUGCAAGUCGAACGAUGAUCCGGUGCUUGCACCGGGGAUUAGUGGCGAACGGGUGAGUAACACGUGAGUAACCUGCCCUUAACUCUGGGAUAAGCCUGGGAAACUGGGUCUAAUACCGGAUAUGACUCCUCAUCGCAUGGUGGGGGGUGGAAAGCUUUUUGUGGUUUUGGAUGGACUCGCGGCCUAUCAGCUUGUUGGUGAGGUAAUGGCUCACCAAGGCGACGACGGGUAGCCGGCCUGAGAGGGUGACCGGCCACACUGGGACUGAGACACGGCCCAGACUCCUACGGGAGGCAGCAGUGGGGAAUAUUGCACAAUGGGCGCAAGCCUGAUGCAGCGACGCCGCGUGAGGGAUGACGGCCUUCGGGUUGUAAACCUCUUUCAGUAGGGAAGAAGCGAAAGUGACGGUACCUGCAGAAGAAGCGCCGGCUAACUACGUGCCAGCAGCCGCGGUAAUACGUAGGGCGCAAGCGUUAUCCGGAAUUAUUGGGCGUAAAGAGCUCGUAGGCGGUUUGUCGCGUCUGCCGUGAAAGUCCGGGGCUCAACUCCGGAUCUGCGGUGGGUACGGGCAGACUAGAGUGAUGUAGGGGAGACUGGAAUUCCUGGUGUAGCGGUGAAAUGCGCAGAUAUCAAGAGGAACACCGAUGGCGAAGGCAGGUCUCUGGGCAUUAACUGACGCUGAGGAGCGAAAGCAUGGGGAGCGAACAGGAUUAGAUACCCUGGUAGUCCAUGCCGUAAACGUUGGGCACUAGGUGUGGGGGACAUUCCACGUUUUCCGCGCCGUAGCUAACGCAUUAAGUGCCCCGCCUGGGGAGUACGGCCGCAAGGCUAAAACUCAAAGAAUUUGACCGG
rnacentral:rRNA from 1 species